rnacentral:rRNA from 1 species
AACGAACGCUGGCGGCAGGCCUAACACAUGCAAGUCGAACGAGAAGCCACCUUCGGGUGGUGGACAGUGGCGGACGGGUGAGUAACGCGUGGGAACGUGCCUUUCGGUUCGGAAUAACCCAGGGAAACUUGGGCUAAUACCGGAUACGCCCUUCGGGGGAAAGAUUCAUCGCCGAAAGAUCGGCCCGCGUCGGAUUAGCUAGUUGGUGGGGUAAUGGCUCACCAAGGCGACGAUCCGUAGCUGGUCUGAGAGGAUGACCAGCCACACUGGGACUGAGACACGGCCCAGACUCCUACGGGAGGCAGCAGUGGGGAAUAUUGGACAAUGGGCGCAAGCCUGAUCCAGCCAUGCCGCGUGGGUGAAGAAGGCCUUAGGGUUGUAAACCCCUUUCAGCGGGGAAGAUAAUGACGGUACCCGCAGAAGAAGUCCCGGCUAACUCCGUGCCAGCCGCCGCCGUAAAAC